AUGUAUUUGUUGGAUAAGGCUUUAGUAGAAGUUGAUCUUUGGGUAAAGAAAGAAGGGGAUGAAUCAGAUGACAAGCAACUACUUUCUGCAUAUGCUGAGAUUGAUGUACGGACUGAAGCUGAUCUCAUGCUUUAUGAACGGAUUUCUGGUGAUAAUUGCAAUUUGGACUUGAAAUAUAUAGUCCUUUCAGAAAGUGUUGAGGCUGUAAUACAAGUAUAUGCAAAGGUCAGCCAUCCUCACCAUGUGUUGUUCACUGCUUUUAGCACCGGAUAUGAUAACUAUCCUCUUCGUGGGGUUGUGCUGUUUGAUGACAAAUUAUUUGGUGAGGAAAAACUAUUCAAGCAUGUUGUCGCGGUGAAAGCAAAUGAAGAACUGCAUGUUUUUUUAGAAGUGAACGGUUCAGUGUUCAAGUGGACUUUUCAAGAUGAACAUGUUGGAGCUGUUGUUUCUCCUGAUGACUCAAUCUUGGACUAUGGCCAGUUCUUCGUGAGGGUGUUGUUUGCUCCAAAGGAUUGUGAGUGA
rnacentral:rRNA from 1 species